AACAUCGCGCACCUGCGGGAACCUGCGGAAGGAUCAUUACACAAUACAAUAUGAAGGCUGUCCGCAGCUGGAGUAUUUUAUUACCCUUGUCUUUUGCGCACUUGUUGUUUCCUGGGCGGGUUCGCUCGCCACCAGGACCACCAAAUAAACCUUUUUUAUGCAGUUGCAAUCAGCGUCAGUACAAACAAUGUAAAUCAUUUACAACUUUCAGCAAUGGAUCU
rnacentral:misc_RNA from 1 species